UACGGAGGGAGCUAGCGUUGUUCGGAAUUACUGGGCGUAAAGCGCACGUAGGCGGCUUUGUAAGUUAGAGGUGAAAGCCUGGAGCUCAACUCCAGAAUUGCCUUUAAGACUGCAUCGCUUGAAUCCAGGAGAGGUGAGUGGAAUUCCGGAGUGUAGAGGUGAAAUUCGUAGAUAUUCGGAAGAACACCAGUGGCGAAGGCGGCUCACUGGACUGGUAUUGACGCUGAGGUGCGAAAGCGUGGGGAGCAACAGG
rnacentral:rRNA from 1 species